GUCAGAAAUACAAUCAGGCUGAUGUCACGGUCAGCUAGCAGUCACCUGUGUCUCAGGCUGUGUGAUUGGGACUGGACAGUUCUGCAAGUAGAACCCUUCCUUAAUGUGCAGGCCCUGGCACCACAGGAGUCAUUCCAACUUCACUCCUCUCUGUGGGUAAUGCACUGUCUCUUGUGGUCCCACUGUGCCCUGCCUCUCUCCUCACAACCAGUCUUCGCAGCACCCUCUCUGCAUGUGCAUGGUCCCCUGUGGGCACCCUUUCUGGCUCUGUGUGUCCAUCUUACUUCAGGCAGGUUUCAGACCCCAUCCUUAUGCUCCUCUGGAGACAGGACUCUGAUAUUUUUGAGGUCAGAGCUGUCUGAAGAUGGGGAAAGUGGAGAUAAAGUGGGUUUCCCACUGGUGGAAGAGAGUUGGUUCCCUGAACGAGCAGGCAGUCACAUAAGGAUGAGGGGAUCAGAAAUGAAAGAUGCCAGUGGAAAUAAUUCCUUCUGUGGCUGUGAAGUGAUCAUGACAUUGCUGUACCACAAUGCAGCACUGAAGACAGGAUCAAAAUGAAAUCUCUCAACCUGCAGAAGAAAUUUCUACAUGAUGAUUUCUACCUAAUAAUAAGUUUCUACCGGCUCUGUCUAUAUUUGUUGGUGCUCCCUGAAGGUGAAGAGGAAGGAGCAAGAUCAAGAGAUCUUCCCACAUCUGUGAUUUCUGGAUGCCAGGGGCUAGUUCAGACAGGAUAUGGUUUUCAGGUUUUAUCCCUGAGAAUAUGGUCCCAGGAAGGCUGGAGCACACAGGACAGACACAGUAGGUUUUAGUGUCCAGGGAGAGAAAGGGGCAGAAAGGAAGUUCACUUUCUUAAGUAAAAGGGUCUUAAAUAAAUACUUUUUCCUUAAGCCUUAUGGAAAUGGCUGAUGGUUAAUUUAAUUACUUUCCCAAGUAAAUGGAAACUGUGGAUUCUAGCUGAAUAAUCAUAGCCCCUAACAAAGUUACCAGGACACUGGAACGCUCCUUUCAUCAAUAAGUCAUAACAAAGGGGAAGCAUCUGUUUUCUGGGUAUGAGUUGAGAUAGUCUUGGCCAAAAUCCUAAGAGGGCCCUCUGAAUGACUAAGCUUAGAAUAUGUCAGGGGACAAAGGACUGUACUAGAUGGGGUCCAGAUAUCUGUUCCCCUAAGUGACCAACCAUGGCUCUUCUUUUCAAGGUUUUUUGGAACCAUUGAGCAAACAAUUGUUUGAUAGUUAAGCUUGAUUCUAUCAAUCCAGUUGGCUUGAGAGCUGUUCAGGAUUGUUGCGGUGCUAGGGGAUUGGUGGGGUACCCUGGGUAGGUAACAAAUAUGUGAUCUUGGGUAUAUACAUGAUCCCUGGCCCCUUCUUUCCUGACACUGAUCCCCUGCUCUGCUUUCUUGUGAUCAUGAACUAAGCAAAGCUGCUCUGCCAUGCCUUUCUACCAUGAAGUUCCUGCACUGGAGCCAACCAACCGUGGCUGAAUCUCCUGAAACAGUGAGUUAAAAUCGACCUCACCUCCUUCAACUAGUGAGUAUAGGGUAUUGUGU
rnacentral:lncRNA from 1 species